rnacentral:rRNA from 1 species
GACGAACGCUGGCGGCGUGCUUAACACAUGCAAGUCGAACGGUGAAGCGCCUUCCUUUUUGGUGGGUGUGGAUGAGUGGCGAACGGGUGAGUAACACGUGAGUAACCUGCCCCCUUCUUCUGGAUAACCGCAUGAAAGUGUGGCUAAUACGGGAUAUUCUGGGUCUGUCGCAUGAUGGGUCUGGGAAAGAUAUUGUUUCGGUGGGGGAUGGGCUCGCGGCCUAUCAGCUUGUUGGUGGGGUGAUGGCCUACCAAGGCGGUGACGGGUAGCCGGCCUGAGAGGGUGGACGGUCACACUGGGACUGAGACACGGCCCAGACUCCUACGGGAGGCAGCAGUGGGGAAUAGUGCACAAUGGGCGCAAGCCUGAUGCAGCGACGCCGCGUGAGGGAUGGAGGCCUUCGGGUUGUGAACCUCUUUCGCCAGUGAAGCAGGCCUGCCUCGUUUGUGGGUGGGUUGACGGUAGCUGGAUAAGAAGCGCCGGCUAACUACAUG